GACGAACGCUGGCGGCGUGCUUAACACAUGCAAGUCGAACGGAAAGGCCCUGCUUUUGUGGGGUUCUCGAGUGGCGAACGGGUGAGUAACACGUGAGUAACCUGCCCUUGACUUUGGGAUAACUUCAGGAAACUGGGGCUAAUACCGGAUAGGAUCUCCUGCUGCAUGGUGGUGGUUGGAAAGAUUCGGCGGUUGGGGAUGGACUCGCGGCUUAUCAGCUUGUUGGUGGGGUAGUGGCUUACCAAGGCUUUGACGGGUAGCCGGCCUGAGAGGGUGACCGGCCACAUUGGGACUGAGAUACGGCCCAGACUCCUACGGGAGGCAGCAGUGGGGAAUAUUGCACAAUGGGCGGAAGCCUGAUGCAGCAACGCCGCGUGCGGGAUGACGGCCUUCGGGUUGUAAACCGCUUUCGCCUGUGACGAAGCGUGAGUGACGGUAAUGGGUAAAGAAGCACCGGCUAACUACGUG
rnacentral:rRNA from 1 species